GAGCUAAUUUCUAAUAUAUGUUGAUUUAACGAGGCAUGAUGUCGUCUAAAAAAAUGGAACAUAAAUUAACCAGGCACAGCUAAAUAUGUGCAUGGUUUACUACUACUCGCCAAGAGAUUGGCUAGACAUGCAUGCAGAGCCAACAGAUUGUCGACAUGUUGUCAAAAGUCGAAACUCAAAUCAACCACUAUUUUUUCUCUGUUUGACGGAAUUACGUACUAUUGUAGAAACAGACACUGUGUUUCCAAAUCUUAAAUUUUUUGAGUGCAUGUAUGUAACACAAACCGCCACUUAACUUUUGACAUGAGCAAAAGCUGAUGAUUUGCCUCCCCUCACAUGGUUAGUCGUGUUUUCAUCAUUCUAAUGAAGCACUACUAGUAUCAAACGAAGGUAAGCUGCUGCCGGAAAAGAAGACAGGGAAAGAUCCACCGAGGAAAACCUGCAGCCACACACGCGGUAGCUUUAGACCUCAGCCUCAACCCAUUUAACCCCUUUUCCUCCUCCAACCGGCUCCCCACUACGCCGCCCUCCA
rnacentral:lncRNA from 1 species